UACGGGGGGAGCAAGCGUUGUUCGGAAUUACUGGGCGUAAAGGGCUCGUAGGCGGCCAACUAAGUCGGAUGUGAAAUCCCCAGGCUCAACUUGGGAACUGCAUCCGAUACUGGAUGGCUUGAAUUCGGGAGAGGGAUGCAGAAUUCCAGGUGUAGCGGUGAAAUGCGUAGAUAUCUGGAGGAAUACCGGUGGCGAAGGCGGCAUCCUGGACCGACAUUGACGCUGAGGAGCGAAAGCUAGGGGAGCAAACGGG
rnacentral:rRNA from 1 species